UUGUUCCAGAAAAAUGAAUCACAAAAUACAAAAUAGAAGGACUGUUUUUGAGAAAGAAAAAUUUUCUCAAAAUUACAAGCUAGAACUUUCUCAAAAAACUUAUGACUUGGUCAACAAGGUAUGGGAAUCUUAUCUUUUAAAUCAAAAAGGAGACUUUAGAAAAACCAUGAUAGCUCUUGUUGAUCAUUUAUCUAAAAAAGAAUUAUCUUUGAUGGUGCUAAAAGAAAAAUUAAGACUAUCUGAUGAACACUCAAACUAAAUCAUACCUAAUUUGGCUACUCUCCUCAAAGUUGAGACACCUAUGACAAACAAGCAAAAAAGACUUAACUAUUAGAAAAGAGCUAAGAAAGUUUUAACUAGUGAACUUCUAGAAGACAUUCAUCAAAAAGCAACUCAGCCUAAUGAAACAAAAGAACUGCUUGAAGAAUUGCAAUUUUUUCUAAUAGACAAAAAUGAUCUAUUUGUGCCUGGGCCAAUGCGUGCACACGUGGAAGCAGCAGAGUGUGUGUGUGAGUGGGUUGAAGCCACAGAGGUAUGAUAUCUCACAAGUCCUAAUGGACUCUCCUGAUGUAGAUCAGGAACCCCGAUAGCCACG
rnacentral:lncRNA from 1 species